rnacentral:rRNA from 1 species
AACGAACGCUGGCGGCGCGUCUUAAACAUGCAAGUCGAACGGCAGGAAGGGGCUUGCCCCUUCUGAGAGUGGCGGACUGGUGAGUAACACGUGGGUGACAUACCUUUUAGUUGGGGAUAGCUAUUAGAAAUAGUAGGUAAUACCGAAUGUGACCGUACCUGUUAGAGGGGUACGAGGAAAGGAGCUAAGGCUUCGCUAAAAGAAUGGCUCGCGGCCCAUUAUGCUCGUUGGUGAGGUAACGGCCCACCAAGGCGAUGAUGGGUAUCCGGGCUGAGAGGGUGAACGGACACAUUGGGACUGAGAUACGGCCCAGACUUCUACGGGAGGCAGCAGUUAAGAAUAUUCCGCAAUGGACGAAAGUCUGACGGAGCGACGCCGCGUGGAUGAAGAAUGCCGAAAGGUUGUAAAAUCCUUUUAAGCCUGAUGAAUAAGCACAGUAGGGAAUGAUUGUGCGGUGACCGUAGGGCUUGAAUAAGCACCGGCUAAUUACGUG